AAAACAUUAUAUUCCCUCCAACAAAUUUAACUCUCCCUCCCAUUUUUAUUUAGCCAAAAAGAAAAUUAAUAAUGAAGUAAAAAAAUACUCCAUGUUUUUGAAAGAGUUCUUUUAUUGUCAUCCUCAAAAUCCUAGCUGCAGUCACUUUCAGAAGAUCUUAGCAGCCAAUUCAUUAUCGAAGCCAUGGCAGAAGUGUAAGCUGAUUUUGCUACCAAACACCCAAGAAAGAGAACGUUCCAGAAGUUCAGCUAUAAAGAAGUAGAUCUGAUUCUUUCUUGACAUGUCUACUGAUGAGCUUGUUAAUCUUUUGCUUUUUCGUCCUCACAGAAUAUUCCAGCAAAGAUUGAAGAGAAAGCUAUGGCAUUCAUCAAGAAACUCCGCAACGUGAAACAUGAGGGAGAAGCAAGAGGUUGUGAUAAUACAUAUGAGUAACAUGGUCAUUGUUCCUGAGAUCAUUUGAUGUAUUAUUGAAAUAUGCAAAGGAAAAUUUUAAUUUCAAUCGGAUUGAGGUCAAGCCUGAGAUUAUUAGUCACUACUUAGAUGAGUUCUCCAUCUCUUACAAGCCUGCAAGCAUGGUAGGGCCGGUAUUUGUGGUACUCACACUUCAAUGUUUAGUCCAUUAUCUUCAUAUUUUCUAGUAAUUCUAGUACUUUUGUUUUACUAUAAUUUUGAUGAGAACAGUGGAUAUUGAAUGGUUCUUUGUUUGGUAGUAGUAAUUUGUUGAUAAAAGAUAAUGAUUUCUGACUACAUCAACACACAAAUUAAUGAUUUUUCACAAAAACACUUAGCUCCUCCAUUCACGAUCUUUUCUGAUUUCAAUAUUAUUCUCUGAUGUUUUACUAUCUUUUGAGAAAUAAAAAUUUCAAAUCAAAGCUCAUUUAGCUCCAUUUAAGAUUUUGUUUUCUUUGUCGCCGACAUUCAAAAAUUCCUUAUUCUUUUGUCGUUGUUCACCAGGAACAGGGAAGUGAAGAUUAUAUCGUGAAGCUUCAUUACAUUGAAAGGUUUUGUAAGAAUAGAGUUUAUCAGCUAUAACUUUCUACCGUUAAAAGUCUGAAUUUGUUGCAUCUAGGCUUAUUAUGUGGGGGUAGAUUUUUGUUUCCUUGUGCUGUUGAUUUUUGGGAUUCCAGAUUGUAGUAUUAUUACACCCAUUAGUUGAUUCUUGUUGUGCGCUAUAUUGAUUCAUUAGGCAUGAUAACUUUUGUUUUUCAUUAAACCGAUAAGUUGAUUAAGAUUGAAAUCGCCCAUGAGAAUAUAGGUUGUCAUGUCCUGCUUAUAAGUACUAUGUUUUUUUUUCCGCUUUACUAGUUUACGGGCCCAAUGUUAGAAUGAGUUUUGCGUGCUUAAUAGACACACUUAGAUAUUCAUAAGCAGAUAAUAGAUAUGCAAAUUAACAAAAAAGAGAUGCACAUCUACUUAGAAGACUGACCACAUAAGUAGUACUGAUAGUUGUUUUAUGCCUAAUCGAUUUAGAGAUGUCUAAGGUACAAUAAUGUUUUUGAUAGCAUGACAGGCUCCCAGUUCUUCUCUUGUGGCUUUAGAGGUAAUCUGCAAUUAGCUCUGUGAUUCCUUGUUUUGCUGACCAUUUUUCUCUAAUUUUCACCAUCCUUAAGUUGUAAUGUUUGUAAGCUGAUUCAAUAUUGGUAAUUAGGAACAUCAAGCAUGCUAAAAGCUCGCUAGAAAGAAGCAGAAUGGUUUCCUGUUCUAGCUGUCUGCUUGCGUCCUUUCAUUACCUCUUCUCCUUGAUCCCACACAACUUGUAUUAUCUGUGCUAUAACUUUUAAUUUGAUUUAAAGGGUUGUUAUUCUGUAAAUAGUACUGACCAUUAUGAUGCACAAUAUGACAUUAGUUAGGUAAUUUGCAUGUAGCUAUGUGAGGUCCAGUUUUGCUCUUGUUUUUCCAGACCCUUGUACUCUGGUUUUCAUCAUUCCUCAAUUCUAUUGUUUCUUUUUAUGCGUAAUGCAACUAUGUUAUAAAUGGCAAAGACUGCACCAUAAAGGAACUGAAAGGUGGGCAUUGUAUUCUGAUAAUGCCAAUUUGAUGAAUAGAGGAAUAGAAUAUACAGAAGCACCUCCAAGACCAUUGGUGUCUCAUCACCUUGCUGUUGCAUCUGUCGCAAAGUGGCAUGAUAUGUCAUACUCCCAAAGCCAAGUAUUAUGUUUGACAUGUGAAGGACACUGAACUUUUUCUCAAACCGUUGUCUGAGGGCGUACACAAGACCAAUAAGAGCCAAGAGAAUGAAUGAGAUAUUUGAAAUUGUUUAGAAGAACUCUGCAAUAUAGGAUGACUGCACAUAAUUUGGUUCACACCACUCUUUAGAUGUUACAGGGCCCCAAAAGAAUAUGCCAUCUUCCAUUCUGCAAUCUUUUAAUGUCAGAUCCAAUUUCCAAAUUCCACCCCAAAAAAUAUUCCCACAGAUUUGCUUCUUUGAAUAUAUAUAUAUAUAUAUAUAUAUGAGUGUGUGUGUGUGUUUGUAUGCAUAUACAUAUAUAAACCCACACAAGAUCUCUCUCUCGCUUUCUCUCUCCUCUCUCUAUAUAUGGAAAUGGAAAACAAAAGAAAGCAAUGCCAGUAAAUCUGUUAUUUAGCAUAACAUUCAGCCAGAAGUUUGGAACGAUAUUUUCUGUACCAUCUUCUUUCCCUUUAUUGCCUUGUUGGUAUAGGGGAGCCACAUUGACACCUUCCACUGCAACAAUGCCAUUUACUAUUUCAUAUCUCUUUGUGCACAGCGGUUCAUAAGUAAGUACACUCCAAAAACUUAGGUUGCAGCUCAUCAUGUUAACCCUGCAACUCUCUCAAAGCAUCAACACACUUUCUAACUUGUGGUAACAAUGUCGUAAAUAUGUCCGUGUCCUCCAUAGAAAAAUUCUGAAGCUUAUUCUUGAGUGCAUUUACAAAAAUAGCACGAUCUUCAGCGCUCAAAGCGGCGGAAGUGGAAGGGAAGAGAUCGGAAUCUGAGCGAUCUUUUAUCGAAAUGCUCAUGUUUAAUUCGUGACGAAAAAGUUGGAAAAAUGUCAAUGAAACAGAAAGAAUUUUGAAGAACUGAAGAAAAAAUAUUGAAGAGUAACAAUUAUGGUAUUAGUCCGUAUUCUGUUUGAAAUGAGAUUCAGUUCGUCUGAGCAUAAACGCCCCUAUUACAUAUUUCAAAAUUUUGAAUUGUUUCUUGUCUUUUUGUGCAUCAGUAGUGUUCAACUUUUUUUUUCUGAUUACUUAGUAGUGUUUCUUCUUACAGUUGUUGCAGCCUAACAUCUAAAUAAGAUGAAGUGAUAAGCCACGUACAUGCUCAUAAAAGACAAAUGAUAUUUUAGUAUAUCACAAACAUAUAACUUAUGUAAGAUUUCAUGUUAUAAGUUCUUUUUUACUCUUCUCGUGAUCUACUCAUGUAUCUUGUUAAUAACAUAACAUUAUAUUGCAACUUACAUCCUCAUUAGUUUUUAAUUUUGAUGUAUCUCAAUUUGACUAUUUGUUCAGACUCUAUGUGCUCUGAGAAGAUGUAUAACUAUUGAAUUAUAAUUUCUCCUAUUUUGUUUAUCUUAUAAGACGACACUCUAUAAUUUUACUUUUCAUUGUCGUUCUUCAAUAUGCUUGGCAUCUUUGUGAUACAAAGACAAAAGGGUAUUAUACAUGUUAGAUACAAUAUGACGGUAGUUUUAGCUGACCGAGCAUAUGAACAUAGAUAACAGAUUAUUGAAAACUCGAAUUGGGAUAAAAGGUUAGUUACGUAGUAGUGUUAUUUGACUUCUUUGUAGUUUCUUGUUGUUUGAUUUUCUUUCACUAUUUGACAUUUGUUUACUUGAAUUGUUUUCUUAUUUUAUUGUAGUUAUUGUUACAUUUUAAUGUUCUAGCUUCUGGGACACAACCUAAUGGUAUGCCUGAAGUGGACUAUGAAAUUGUGAAUGUUUUUUAGCCAUUCAAUUUUAUUUGUGAACUAUAAUAUGCAAUUUACACUCUAGAAUUGUAAUCUAUAAUCUAUAAUGUGGAACUAUAAUCUAUAAUCUGAAAUAAUUUGAAAUUUGGAACUGUAAUAUUUAAUAUGCAUUAAUCUUAAUGUUUAAUCUGCAAUUUGAAACCUUAAAUACUGAACUAUAAUCAGCAUUGUGCAAUUUGGAAUGAGGAGGAAUCUACAAUCUUGAACUCACGUAAUAUGUGCUCUACAAUAAUUAAUAAUUUAAUACUUGUACUUGGCUAGAAAUCAUCAACCAGAUGAUUCAAAUUCCCAAUGGAUGAACAAAGCUGAUAAUGCUUGGCAAUUGACUUCAGCCACCCUUGUUGGCCUUCAAAGUGUUCCAGGUAUAUUAACAUUCCUACCUCUGUACCUCAAAUAAUAUUUUCAUAUGUUUGGCUCAUAAAAACCAUUCAAGCUAAUGCGUGUUUAGACACUUGAAUUGUUCUUAUAUCUUAUUGAAUUGUGCGAUCAUCUUAUCUAAAAGCUUAAAUUUAUAUAGAGAGAUUCAGGGGUGGAGCAAAUAUACUCUAUUCAUUUAAGUUUGUUUGUCUGGUUUUCACUUGCCAAGAAAUUUAGCAAAGGAAAGAAGAGUUCUAAAGUUUAUGGUCUACAUGUGAAAUGUAUCAAAAUGUCCAAUUUAACAUAUCACUUGAAAAGUUAGAACUAAUGACUUGUCAAAAUAGAAAAAGGGACAUUUUCUUAGAACGGAUUAAAAAGAAAAGUAAUUAAAGAAUAUUUAAAUGGAAGGAGUAUUGAGUAUGGGUUUUGGACGAGUCUAGUAACUUUUGCUUAGAUGGAAGAUCAUUGAAUCUGUAUAAGUAUUUAACUGUAAAUCCAAUAACUAAGACGAGGUAUGGGUUCAACAACAUUCAAAACCCGUGAACAUCAAAUUCUGAUUACGCCUCUGGAGCAUACUUUCGAUUACUUAAUUACAUAGUUUCGCAAUGGCAGGUGUUGUUAUCCUUUAUGGUAGUAUUGUGAAUAAUAAAUGGGCUCUCAACUCGAUGUUGAUGGCCCUUUACACUUUUGCAACAGUCCUCUCAACUCGACGUUGAUGGCCCUUUACACUUUUGCAACAGUCCUUGUUUGUUAGGUUGGAUGGGGAUACCAAUUAGCUUUUGGUGACACAUUAGUUCAAUUUCUUAGAAAAACAAAUUUUGAUGCGUUGGAACAAAAGCUCAAAACAAGUCAAGCUUUUAUUGGAAAGUUUCCAAAUGUCUCAAUGGUCUAAUUCAAGUUUGCAUUCGCGGCAAUCACUUUGAUUUUAAUAGUUGGUGCCCUGCUCGAGAGGAUGAAUUUCAUCUAGUGGAUGUUGUUUGUUCCUCUUCGUCUUACUUUUUCAUAUGCAGUAGGUGCAUUUAGUAUCUAGUUCCCUCAAGGUUGGCUGUUCAUGAUGGGAGUUAUUGGCUUUUCUGGAGUUUUUGUAAUUCACCUCUCUUAUGGUGUUGCUGGUUUCACUGCUGCCUGCUUAUUGGAGAAAUGGAGGUGAUCAAAUUUGAAGGCUCGUGGCAAGUCAAUUUUAUCUCAUUGAAGAGGAUAAUGAAGAGUUUUUGAACUAUUGUAAAAGUUUGAGUACAUUAUGUUUGAUUUUGUGAAAUAUAUUCAUUGCUAAAAUAAAUUAAACAAUUGUAAGAGUAUUUUGUGAACUAUUGUGCAAACAUAUUUAUAAUAUUGCUUUAUAGGUAUGUGUAUGUACACAAGACAUGCUAUCUUUUAAAGUUUAUUGUAAAUCUACAUAUUUGAAUUACUUAA